UGGCUCAGGACGAACGCUGGCGGCGUGCCUAACACAUGCAAGUCGAGCGAGGAGAUCCUUCGGGAUGAUCCUAGCGGCGGACGGGUGAGUAACACGUGGGCAACCUGCCUCAUAGAGAGGAAUAGCCUUCCGAAAGGGAGAUUAAUACCUCAUAACAUUGCAGUUUCGCAUGGAACAGCAAUUAAAGGAGCAAUCCGCUAUGAGAUGGGCCCGCGGCGCAUUAGCUAGUUGGUGAGGUAACGGCUCACCAAGGCGACGAUGCGUAGCCGACCUGAGAGGGUGAUCGGCCACAUUGGGACUGAGACACGGCCCAGACUCCUACGGGAGGCAGCAGUGGGGAAUAUUGCACAAUGGGGGAAACCCUGAUGCAGCAACGCCGCGUGAGUGAUGACGGCCUUCGGGUUGUAAAGCUCUGUCUUCAGGGACGAUAAUGACGGUACCUGAGGAGGAAGCCACGGCUAACUACGUGCCAGCAGCGGC
rnacentral:rRNA from 1 species